AACGUAGGAGCCAAGCGUUAUCCGAAUUCACUGGGCGUAAAGCGCGUGCAGGCGGCUGGGUAAGUUGGAUGUGAAAUCUCCUGGCUCAACUGGGAGAGGCCGUUCAAUACUACCUGGCUUGAGGGCGACAGAGGGGGGUGGAAUUCCGGGUGUAGUGGUGAAAUGCGUAGAUAUCCGGAGGAACACCAGAGGCGAAGGCGACCUCCUGGGUCGUACCUGACGCUGAGAUGCGAAAGCUAGGGGAGCAAACGGG
rnacentral:rRNA from 1 species